rnacentral:lncRNA from 1 species
CUUGUGUUUUCUGCGUCAAAAGGUGCGGUUCCAAUAUCUCUCACAGCCCCUUUCAGGGUACUGUCUUCUGUCCACAAGGGCUGCAUUUUUGGGAAGGAUCGUCACAAUGUGCAGUCACAGCAAGAACAAAACAAAUCCUCCUGCACUGGCUCCUGUGACUGGAAUGCAGACACAUUCAAGAAAACGAAGAUCAAGGUACAGGGAACCAAGAAGAAAGGCUGCCCAGCUACCAUGCACAUAACUGAAAUUGAAGUCUUUCCUGAGCAUUGUUUGAACUUGCCACCUGAUGCAAGCGAGAGAAGACGGAAACAAGCCUCAAAGGCGGCACUAUCACGUCUGGCUGAAAAGCUGCAAACAACUGAAGGUGCAUCUGAGGUGAUAAGUGAAAAGCGCUACUACAUUUCCCUCACAUCCAAAGAAGGGCACAAGAACCACACCUUUGACACCGCACUGAGCCAUGCCCAACCAGUUGACCCACGGGUGUCUGAACGUAUACAGACACUGGUCAAAGGCGG